GGAGGCAGAGGAGCUUGAGUGAUGAAAGAGUGCGGAAGCGUUAGUCGGGCGCUACCGCCGACGCGGUGUGCAGCUAUGCUCGCGCCAAUGUAGACGCGCCCGAUUUGUUAUCCCGCGAGUUAUCCCGAAGACGGUAGGAUUGGACGGGCGGAGGAAGCCACAAUUCCAGCUAUUGGCUGUCCCAUAAUUAUCCGUGGCUCUGGAAACGACUCGGGGUUCUCAAGCAGCAGCAACAACAGCAGCUCAGCAUUGUCGCCGGCUACAUUCUUCGUCGUCCGCACAGCUACAACAUCGUAAGACUGAUAAGAUCUGCAGACUGCAGCGCUUCCGCCAUGGACACAUCUCAUUCUGGACAGAACAACCUUAACUCCUCGAUUGGAGGCUUAUUGAUGACCUAAUUUCUUAACAAAAUCAGAAAAAUUUUGUACAUGAAUCAAUAAAUAUUGUGCAAAAAAGA